UUCGUGCUGCUAUGGCAGCAGACCCUGUGCUUAAGAGAAGAAAAAAAAAGCUUUUGCAUCAAGCUAUUGUUAGGGGAGAAUUCACUUUGAGGAGCAUUUCAAAGCUGAUCCGAUUGGGGAAAGAAUCGUGUUAAAUAUUUGUGAUGAAAUAUUUAUAAGAAGAGCACAGGAGCAAUGGACACAGUUGCCUGGGAAAAUAAGCAUUUCUCCUCAUUUGGAAAUUUUAGAUUGGGGUAGUUUAAAUGCUCUAGGGGGAAUUUAUAGAAGUGCAAAUACAUGUGUGAUGUGUGUUCACAAACGUGCGCGGGCACGCACGCAUACACGCACACUCACACACAUGGUUGAAUGGGUUGAUAGGAUUUAGGUCAAUCUGCAUCUGAAUGCAGUUUCCCAAAUACAGCAGCAAUAAGAGGUCACUGAGGACUGUCUUGAUAAUUGUGUUUGAAGAAGCACUGUACUGAUGCCAACAGAGCGAUACUUCCUGGACUUCCCGAGGCGGCCAGGAGAGGUAGAAGGCAGCCAUCUUAUAUUAUAGGUGCUCUUCUCAUACCCACGCCCUGGCGAAGGGACGCUUGGAGGGGACAGAUUUCCCUGAACCCUGCCCUUCACUCCAUCAGCAUAAUGCUAGCAAUGCCCAAGUGUAUGCACUGUAAAAGGAAAAAGAUUAUUUUCUUGAAGCCAGAAUGUAUGCUCUUAGAAGAUAGUAUUUCCAUCUGCGUGGUUGGUGGAUUUUUCAAAAAUAUUUAGCACCCAAACCCUGCCCACCUGCACAUAUAAUUAUGUAAUAGAAAGUGAUGAAUGAUGCAUCGACUAACGUAGUUAAGAGAAGCCCUGCAUCAAGUAUGUAUACUUUCAAUAUCUGUGGGGCUCUUCUCUCCAUUGGGAAGAGAGAAAUGAAGGUAUUCUGUCUUAUUCAGUGUGUCCAAUAAAUAAGUCACAUAUUUAACACUUAGCAUUUACCACCUGAGCUUUGCCAUCGUUUUGUGUAGCAUUUUAGAUGACUAAGAAACUAGUGUAGGGUAAUAUGAUUAGUGUAAGUAACUGAACAGCUGACUAGGUGACCUAUCAACACUGUUACUGAUGCUAUUUUAACAUAGGUGUUCUAUAGAGAAUUUUACUGUAGGCCAAUUUUACUAAUCAACAAACAUAACACUCUGGCCAAAAGAGCACGUGCUCUGAAACCACCCAUUGCAAUAGUCUCUACAGUAUUUGACUUUGUCUGAGAGGGCCAAGAUUACCUAGCGGCUAGGCGGGCAGAGGGAAGAUGCACGGGCAUGGUAGGGGUCUGAACCACAGCCAGCCUGUUUCUUAUCUGAGAGAUCACCAAGUGGGAAAGCAUUGUGGAUGGAUUUCAAUCAGCUUUUUUCUCCGUCCCCCCUCCCUUGCACACAACAAAAGUCUAAAUCCCUUUUCAGUCCAGAUUGCCCCAUUUCCCUGCAUGGGCCAGGCAGAUUGGAAACAUGUUUGUCAUUCAGCUUUUCUCCGGGCUAAUCAGGAGACACUGGGGUGGUGGGAUUUCUGCCUUUCAUCUAUGGAGCCUGCCUCUAAAAGCAGCCACGCAGAGGCCGCUGGGCCUGCUCGAGAGCCGGGCUGCCUGUCAUCUCUGCAGACAGAUAUAAAAAUAUUGUUAACCACGAGCCUAAGCAGAGGGUUUAACAGGGAUUUGAAUCUAAAAUGUGAUACUCCACAUAGACCAACUUGAUUUGGUCCAACAGAGCCGAACCCCUUAUUCUGUUCUAACAAAGUGUGUCACAUAAUGGGGGAGAUUUUGAUGGGAUUUACGACGUCUCUGUUUCAGGCCUGCUGCUGAAUACAUCUACACUGUGAAUGAACGUUGCUGCUUCCAGGGCUGUCCUGAGGAGAGGCCCCAGCCACCCUACCUCUCAAGUCAAGGUCUUGUUGAUGGGACAGCUUUCAAAUUCACCACGGCGUUGUCCUGAGCAUGCAGUGGGAUCUGGAGUUAUCCAUUUCUUCACUGAAGAAAUGCUUAGGAGGGCUUGUCGGGAGCCAUGCUCUGCGCCAGGUGCUGGGCCUUCUGUGAUGGCUUGGUGUGAUGCACGCGCAAGUGAGUUAAUAUAUCACGAUGGAGUGUCAUACGUCCAACAGAAAGAGGAAUCGAGCAACAACAGCAACGUUGAGACACUAGUGUAUAAUAACAGGA